CCUACGGGAGGCAGCAGUGGGGAAUAUUGGGCAAUGGGCGCAAGCCUGACCCAGCAACGCCGCGUGAAGGAAGAAGGCUUUCGGGUUGUAAACUUCUUUUUUUAGGGACGUCGAAAGUGACGGUACCUGAGGAAUAAGCCACGGCUAACUACGUGCCAGCAGCCGCGGUAAUACGUAGGUGGCAAGCGUUAUGCGGAUUUACUGGGUGUAAAGGGCGUGUAGGCGGGACUGUAAGUCAGAUGUGAAAACCACGGGCUCAACCUGUGGCCUGCAUUUGAUACUGUAGUUCUUGAGUACAGGAGAGGCAGACGGAAUGCCUAGUGUAGCGGUGAAAUGCGUAGAUAUUAGGCGGAACACCAGUGGCGAAGGCGGUCUGCUGGACAGCAACUGACGCCGAGGCGCGAAAGCGUGGGGAGCAAACAGGAUUAGAUACCCCUGUAGUC
rnacentral:rRNA from 1 species